CUUUCAUUGUUGACCAAUUUCUAUCAGUAAAUCCACCAAAAAUAAAAUUACCAACUUUCACAAAAACCACAGUUGGGCCUUUGUUGUCACACUUUGAAUGGAAGUCUUUUGCUUUCCAACCAUCCAACGAUGCUCUGUAACAUAGACGCCACUCAAAAUUUUGUUCAGCCAACCACUCAAUCAUUUGACGUAUGUAUUCAGGUUUACCUUUCAAAAUUUUAGAAGCUGUAGCCAAAUCGACAUAUGCUGAUUGAAACACUGUU